AGUGAACGCUGGCGGUAGGCCUAACACAUGCAAGUCGAACGGCAGCACAGUAAGAGCUUGCUCUUACGGGUGGCGAGUGGCGGACGGGUGAGGAAUACAUCGGAAUCUACUUUUUCGUGGGGGAUAACGUAGGGAAACUUACGCUAAUACCGCAUACGACCUACGGGUGAAAGCAGGGGAUCUUCGCACCUUGCGCGAUUGAAUGAGCCGAUGUCGGAUUAGCUAGUUGGCGGGGUAAAGGCCCACCAAGGCGACGAUCCGUAGCUGGUCUGAGAGGAGGAUCGGCCGCCUUGGAAGUGAGACACGGUCCAGACUCCUACGGGAGGCAGCAGUGGGGAAUAUGGGACAAUGGGCGCAAGCCUGGUCCAGCCGUACCGCGUGGGUGAAGAAGGCCUUCGGGUUGUAAAGCCCGUUUGUUGGGAAAGAAAAGCAGCAGGUUAAGACCCCGCUGUUCUGACGGUACCCAAAGAAUAAGCACCGGCUAACUUCGUG
rnacentral:rRNA from 1 species